rnacentral:rRNA from 1 species
UUCGUAGGCGGUGUGGCAAGUCGGGAGUGAAAUCUCUGGGCUUAACUCAGAGGCUGCUUCCGAAACUGCCGUGCUAGAGUGCGGGAGAGGCGAGUGGAAUUGCAGGUGUAGCGGUGAAAUGCGUAGAUAUCUGCAGGAACACCCGUGGCGAAGGCGGCUCGCUGGACCGCAACUGACGCUGAGGAACGAAAGCUAGGGGAGCAAACAGGAUUAGAUACCCUGGUAGUCCUAGCCCUAAACCAUCAGGACUUGGGGUGCAUCCCGUUCGGGGUGCGUCCCGGAGCUAACGCGUUAAGUCCUGCGCCUGGGGAGUACGGUCGCAAGGCUGAA